rnacentral:rRNA from 1 species
AUUAAACGCUGGCGGCAUGCCUUACACAUGCAAGUCGAACGGCAGCACGGGGGCAACCCUGGUGGCGAGUGGCGAACGGGUGAGUAAAGCAUCGGAACGUGCCCUGGAGUGGGGGAUAACGUAGCGAAAGUUACGCUAAUACCGCAUAUUCUGUGAGCAGGAAAGCAGGGGAUCGCAAGACCUUGCGCUCUGGGAGCGGCCGAUGUCGGAUUAGCUAGUUGGUGGGGUAAAGGCCUACCAAGGCGACGAUCCGUAGCGGGUCUGAGAGGAUGAUCCGCCACACUGGGACUGAGACACGGCCCAGACUCCUACGGGAGGCAGCAGUGGGGAAUUUUGGACAAUGGGCGAAAGCCUGAUCCAGCCAUGCCGCGUGAGUGAAGAAGGCCUCGGUUGUAAG